rnacentral:rRNA from 1 species
UACAGAGGGUGCGAGCGUUGUUCGGAAUCACUGGGCGUAAAGCGCGCGCAGGCGGGACUUGCAAGUCGGGAGUGAAAAGGCCGGGGCUCAACCCCGGAGCUGCUUUCGAGACUGCUGACCUGGAGACCAGUAGGGGUUGGUGGAAUUCCCGGUGUAGCGGUGGAAUGCGUAGAGAUCGGGAAGAACACCGGUGGCGAAGGCGGCCAACUGGGCUGGAUCUGACGCUGAGGCGCGAAAGCGUGGGGAGCAAACAGGAUUAGAUACCCCGGUAGU